CGGUGAUUCGGCAAGGGGUAUGUCACUUGCUUUGGGAGCAAGCAUUCGUAGGUUCGAUUCCUACAUCACCGA
rnacentral:tRNA from 2 species